UACAGAGGUCUCAACCGUUGUUCGGAUUCAUUGGGCGUAAAGGGUGCGUAGGCGGCGAGGAAAGUCAGGUGUGAAAUCUCGGGGCUCAACCCCGAAACUGCACUUGAUACUGCCUUGCUCGAGUACUGGAGAGGAGACUGGAAUUUACGGUGUAGCAGUGAAAUGCGUAGAUAUCGUAAGGAAGACCAGUGGCGAAGGCGACACCCUGGACCAGCACUGACACUGAGGCACGAAAGCGUGGGGAGCAAACAGG
rnacentral:rRNA from 1 species